rnacentral:rRNA from 1 species
GAUGAACGCUAGCGGCAGGCCUAAUACAUGCAAGCCGAACGGUAAUUCUGAUAGCAAUAUUGGAACUAGAGUGGCGUAAGGGUGCGUAACACGUAUGCAAUCUACCCGCAACAGGAGGAUAGCUCCCCGAAAGGGGAAUUAACCCUCCAUGAGAUCACACGAGGGCAUCCGAGAGUGAUUAAAUUUGAGGAGGUUGUGGAUGAGCAUGCGACUGAUUAGCUAGUUGGCAGUGUAACGGACUACCAAGGCGAUGAUCAGUAGGGGAACUGAGAGGUUGAUCCCCCACACUGGCACUGAGA